rnacentral:ncRNA from 1 species
AUAAAUGCGAUGACCGGAAGAAGUCCGAUAUUCUUUGUGUCAGAGAGAUGCCCAAGCGGUGAGAGGGCGUUCAUAAAGAAGCGGGCGAGUCACCCGUGAGCCGGCAGAAGGAAAGGUCUGCCCGGAUGCAGCCGUUAUCUGUCAAUGAGAGGUCGUCUAGGCGACAAAUCGGGUGGUACCGCGGAAGAUACGCUCUUUCGUCCCAAGU